rnacentral:rRNA from 1 species
GACGAACGCUGGCGGCGUGCUUAACACAUGCAAGUCGAACGGAAAGGCCUGCUUUCCCUUGUGGAUUGCGGGUACUCGAGUGGCGAACGGGUGAGUAACACGUGAGUGAUCUGCCCCCAACUUGGGUAUAAGCCUGGGAAACUGGGUCUAAUUCCCGAUAGGACUGCAGGGUGGUGCCUGUGGUGGAAAACGAUUUUCUAGUGGUUGGGGAUGAGCUCGCGGCCUAUCAGCUUGUUGGUGGGGUAAUGGCCUACCAAGGCGGCGACGGGUAGCCGGCCUGAGAGGGUGGACGGCCACAUUGGGACUGAGAGACGGCCCAGACUCCUACGGGAGGCAGCAGUGGGGAAUAUUGCACAAUGGGCGGAAGCCUGAUGCAGCGACGCCGCGUGGGGGAUGACGGCCUUCGGGUGGUAAACUCCUUUCGACCGCGAGGAAGCCACCUGGUUGGAAGGGUGGUGACGGUAGUGGUAGAAGAAGCACCGGCUAACUACGUG